AACACAUUAAUGUUAAUACAUAUUUUGAUUCUUACAGCUCUAGUAAAUAACUUAUUCUGAUUGUAAUUAUUUAUUUCAAUUCUUACUCAUUCCAAAUUGAAUCUAUUUCAAUUGCAGCUCAUUUUUAUUUUCAUUUAGUAAAUGCACGAUUAUUGUAGAUGGGACGGAUAUUUCUUUAUCCUUUAUAAUUAGAGCGAUAUUUCAAAUAAUAGAUGAAUAAUAAUAAUAAUAAUGCUGUGAAAGUGAGCUAAGUAGCGAAAGGAAGAGGCCACACUGGGGAGGUGGCGCACGUCCGAUUGGCCCACAAUAAUAAAUACGAAAAACAAUGAAAGAUGUAACACCUGGCUGUCUAAUUUUUGCAAGAUUAGAAUAUGGCGUGAAGGGUAUCUGAGUCCGCGUCUCACUCCUCCGGUCUUCCCUUCUUUUGUCACGCGAAAAAGCAAAAGGGGUUAGUGUGCAGAUGAGCAAGUGAACUGGGCAGUGUAACGUGAAGAGAGGGCGAGGAGAAGCCUUAAAGGCUUAAAUCAUUAUAGAAACCAACAAAGAUGAAAGCAAGACGGACUUUGCUAGCUUACAGAAUCUGUAAGUUACAGACUGCACCAUCAGCCGUUGGAUGCGGAGUGAGAAAUUAAACAAUAAAAAAUUGGAUGGUGGGAUGGUGGGAGAGGUUAGUUACAGAAGCUGCACCAUAGACAGGUUCAAGAAAGACACGUGAAGCGGAUUUGGUCAUCAUGUAAUAAUGCACCAACGCCAAUGUACAGAUGCAGGUUACAUCAUACAGUGGCAUGGAUACCCUCUGACACAGCGUUUCACUAUCAAUCUUAGUUAGUCUUAAGUUUCACUCCACACGUCGCUCGCCGCCGGCUAGGCCUGCCACAAGGCGCCUACCUACGGUUUAGGUUUUAGUUAGGGAUGGCUAUUAUUUUUUUGUUAAAAGAUUACUUAUAUUUGCUUUACAUUGGUUUAAUUUAAUUUGUUGAUCAUAUAUUUAAUUAUAUUUCUUUUUCAUUUUAUUUUUAAAUUGAUAUCAUUUGCAGUAAUACCUAUUUAGAUAUCACUUUUAAAAAUAAAUA
rnacentral:lncRNA from 1 species